rnacentral:rRNA from 1 species
GUAGGUGGCAGCGUUGUCCGGGAAUUAUUGGGGCGUAAAGCGCGCGCAGGCGGUUCUUUAAGUCUGAUGUGAAAGCCCACGGGCUCAACCGUGGAGGGUCAUUGGAAACUGGAGAACUUGAGUACAGAAGAGGAAAGCGGAAUUCCACGUGUAGCGGUGAAAUGCGUAGAGAUGUGGAGGAACACCAGUGGCGAAGGCGGCUUUCUGGUCUGUAACUGACGCUGAGGCGCGAAAGCGUGGGGAGCAAACAGGAUUAGAUACCCUGGUAGUCCACGCCGUAAACGAUGAGUGCUAAGUGUUAGGGGGUCUCCGCCCCUUAGUGCUGCAGCUAACGCAUUAAGCACUCCGCCUGGGGAGUACGGCCGCAAAGGCUG